AGCUUUGUGCAGUGGCAGUAUCGUACCCAAUGAGGUUUAUCCGAGGCACGAUUAUUGCUAAUAGAGUGCUUCCCUUAAAUGUAAAUGGACUAAAUUCUCCAAUAAAAAUGCAGAGUAGCUGAAUGGAUUAAAAAAAC